AAGGCCGGGCAAUUGCUGCAUCAUGCAGAGGAAAGUCCAUGCUCACACGAUGCUGAGAUGCUCGUAGUGUUCGUGCUCCGCGAAAAAAUAAGCGGUGGCAGCUUACAAAUGUAGGCUGACGGCAGAGAGGAUACCUAAGUUCUUUUGAAUAUGGUAUGAAUCUCUUGAAAGUGCCACAGUGACGUAGUUCUGACAGAAAUGUCGGAAGUGGAACGAGGUAAACCCCACGAGUGAGCAACUCAAACAAUGGUAGAGGCACUUUUCCGGAGGAAAUGAACAAAGGAAGGGACCGGUUAUCCGGUAGAUAGAUGAUUGCCGCCUGAGGUACGAGCUUAUAAGCGUUUGCAGUACGCAGGAACAAAACAUGGCUUACAGGC
rnacentral:RNase_P_RNA from 1 species